CGUACACUAGAGAGAGAGAGACUCAAGGAUAACAAAAAGUGGGCUGGUCUUCGACAACCCCUCUCUCCGGCAAAACCGACUUCAAGCACCCACCAGAAGAUAACAAGGUGUGUGUAAAUAGAUACCAUGGCAGCGAAAAGGUUAAGGCAAAGCGGUGAAGCGAUUAGUCAUCCCGGCAAGCAAGAGACGGACGACGUUACGAGUUGGGUUCCAGCAGACUCUGAAAGACCUGAUCUACACAUGUAUGCAAUGGAUCUGAAUAGAUCGACGACCCAGAUCGAUCACAUUUAAGGAUCCCGUGACCUGAAGCUGUUGAGGUGGUGGCGCUGGCUUGUGGUUGUUUUCAGUUGGAGGAACGGACAAAUCGGUUCAGGUUCGGUUCUACACGGUUCAACUCGGUCAGUUUUGGUGCUCGGGUCAACGUGGUCAAACUGGUCAACGCGGACAACUGCUGUCAACACGGGUCAACUAGUCAACGCGAGGCUUGGAAUGAGAUAGUUGCAUGCUAGCGAGUUUACGUUCAUGGAACAACACUACGGAAUCAUAUUAUGCUAGCUUUGCACUGGGUAUCCAGGUUGCAUUUUCAAAACUAUGAAACGGUUGGAAUAGGAGAACCCAUGGGAUUCGAGUACUUAGCGGCGUUCAUUUUCUAGAAGUCUUAGCUUAUUUGCUUCCGCUGU
rnacentral:lncRNA from 1 species